GCCGCAUGCGACGGCGGAUCUCUCAAAAUAAAAAGAAAAGGGAAAAAAAACGACGGCGGAAGCGGCCAGAGAGGAGGUCCGGGUGCUGCUUCGAUUGGCGCCAUGGGUUUCUGCGGCGGCGGCGUAGUUGGUGAGUUCGUAAAGGUAUUGACCUGCAACCAGUUGUUCGCUCGGCGUGGGUUUUGUGCCCCCGCCGGUGGCGUCCUUGCCACUCUGGGACUGGGAGUCUGAGAGUGCGGCGUCUUCAGGAACAUCGUCAUCCGCAUCGUGCGGGCCUGCAGUUGCAAAAUGAAGUGUAGAAUGUUUUGCUGGUUUUCUGAUUGAUCCCUGGAAUGUGGUUUUCUGCGUGCUGUCCGAACUCAGAAGACCAGAUUUUUUCUUGAUACUGUCAGAAGACCAGAUUGCAGUUCAAGUUCAACUAUCCAUCUGAAGAACGUGAUAUCCAUGUGCUACACAACCAUCUGCCCAUGUACAUAUUGUAUAGAACACAAGAAUGGAGUUGAACAAUUUAGGCUCUAGUAGAUACUGAAGUGUGUUCUGGUUCAGAAGCUAUUUUGGCCAAUCAAGUACACAUCAAACCGAGCAUCGCAAGUACAGUCAUACUCUUACUGAAUGAGCCGAUCAUGUAGGCAUGCCUUGGUAUAUUGAAUUUCCUGCUUCGAUCCUCUUUCAGGGACGCUGUAACAUCUAUCCUGAAAAUGAAAUUAUUGAGGCUAGAGGACAUAACUCAAUUAUAAUAAUAGAGCAUGAAUACUAGUGUUCUGCCCACUUAGUUCUGAUAGAGUUUGUAUUUACGGGCUUGAGCAUAACUGCAAAUAUUCCGAGCAGUUCUGCUGAUAUUUUUUAUGCUUUAUUUUAAUAAUUACUGGAGCUUGAAAUAUCCAAGGAUUCUUUUAAUUGCAGAUGCUAAGAACAAAUUCUGUUUCUUCUAUAGUUUAUACUGUGCAGCAGAGAUAUUGGCUAUGCACCACUUAAUUGCUAGCACUUCAUAACAUAAAUAAUUAAAUUGUCAUUUUUUUUACCAUUUGAAGUAGAUUACUCGUUCCUAAAGCAUGGUUUAGGAGAUAUAGUACCAAACUUUUGUUGAGUACUUGAGUGGUGAUUGUAUUUGUUCUAUCCCUUCAGUGGGCUUUUCCACUGCAGCUAUGCAGGCAACAGGUGCUGUUAAUAUUUUUAUUUUGAGAUCUUUUGUCAUCCUUUUGGUAGCUUAUGCAUACCUUUGUUCCAUAGCUAUAUUUUAUCUUCCAAGUAUUAUGCAUUUUCCAAAAUUUGCACAGAAGACAGAAUAUGUCUUUUUCAAACAAUAGCUAUUUUUUCAAUGCAGCAUAAACUUGUGUCGUAUGGUGGAUCUCUCCAUUGUUACAGGUGUAUGCUGAUAAAAUAGCUUUCAAGUUUUCUUUCACUAAUCACUAUACAUUAUUUUUCUAAAUAUUUUGCCAGUAAAUACCCUGAUUGACUGCAAUAAUGACUUCUGAGUCUAAGACUAUGGCACCCUGUGUGGAGAAUUAAACAAGAAUCUUUACGUAUCAGGCAUGUGCUCUUUUUUUCUGACCUCCAGGAGACCAAUAUGCUGUAGGAAAACUCAAGGUUGCCUGCAUUCUAGUAGCUUGCAACUUGCAAGUAGGAGCUUGAGGUGCCUGAAGACUGCAUACCACCUCUCUUGAAAGAAUUUUCAACACAUAUGCACGCCAUGCAGCUAAAUUUGACAUCUUUGUUAGGUAAGUUCGUGCCUUUACCUGGAGGAGGUCACCAACAUUGACGAAGAAUGCUGACGGGUCGGCCGGCACCUUAAUCCAGACCUCCUUGCCGUCACUGUUCGGCAGAAGCACCUGCAGGCCAUUGACGUCGUUUGCU